CAUCUCACUCUCUCUUUUAAGAAAAAAAAUUGUAAAAGAUUCCACAGCUAGCAAAAAGGCAUCAGACUUUUUAUAGGCCUCUGGGAUUGAGGUCCUGUUUAGUCAUUUUCUCUCCUUGUGUCUGGCUGAAUGGAGUUGUCACUAGUUUGUCUGUAAAAGGUUCAUUUCCAUGAGUUUUGAAAAGAGGUUUGAAAGGGCAGGAGUAGCAGUCUCAAACAGAUUUGAAACAACUAAGGACAGCCUCCCUUAAGUCCAAAAUAUUUUUAAAAAGAGGGCAGAAUUGAGGUUGGUCUCCAGAGGCCUUGCUCACCACCAACUUGAAGCUGCUCACAUGUGACCCCUUGGUCACAGGGAGGGGCCAAGGGGUGGAGUGGGAAUGGUGAAGUUCACAGGAUCUUUUCAAAAUUCUUGAGUCUUGAGCAACCUCAAGGGGUCACACCAGUAGUGUGGGACUCUGCCCUUUGGGGCCUCACGAGCCAGCUAUGAAGGCUGAGGUCCUGCUGGGCUGGCUGCCCACUCUCAGAGAUCGGGUCUUCUGGACAGAUUCAUGAAUUUGCUCAGCAGCUGCCACUGCACCAUACAAGGCAGCUCUGAUUUAGCCAAGAAGCAUUGUCAUUCUAGUCCGGUAGGUGGCUGUACCAUCCAAAAAUCAGCCUGCUUUUUCAGAAAGAUCUUAUUGAAGUUAAAGCCAAGAAUCUUUUUUUUUUUUUUUUUGUAUUGGGGAUUGAGCCCAGGGGCACUUUACCACUUAGCCACACCCACAUCUCCAUCACUUAUUAUUUUAUUUUAUUUUUAAAAUUUUGAGACAGGGUCUCGAUAAAUUGCCAAGGCUGUAUCGUGGGUGCUUUUACCUAGUCUCACUAAAUUGCUGAGGUUGGCCUCAAACUUGUGGUCCUCCUGCCUCAGCCUUCUAAGCCACUGGGAUUAUAGGCAUGCACCAUCCUGUGUGGCAGGGCCAGGAAUCUUGACACAGGGGACUCAGCUAGAUGUUCUGGAUCACCAGCUGGUUACCAGCUCCAGUCACAGCACUUUGUGGAUUUUGUUGGGACAGAUGAUAGAUGUUUGCUCACAUACAAUGACACCUCUUUCUGGGUCCAGUGCACAAAGAAGUAUGCAUUUUCCAAGGAGAAACUAGCCAAGCAAUAGAAAUAUUCAAGAAAAGAAAAGGGCUUAUGUCUUAAGAGUGGCAGUUCUCAAUUUGCAAAAUACCAGGGAUAGGACAAGAAAAUUCAUACUUCUCCCUCUCCCAAUCUGCCAGAGUAUUCUAUAAUUUCCAGCACAAUUUAACCUCCUUCUAAAAUGCUUCAUCUUUCAGAUCAUUUGGGGCAGGAUUGGGGAAGUUGGUUAGAUCUUUUUACUGGAAAGAGCGCUUAGUUGGUCUAUAUAAUAAAAUUAUAGCUAGAUGGGAGGAGGGGGGUUGCUGAAAGUUGAGGAAAUUACAAAGAGGACUGCACUAGAGAACAAAAGAGGCUGGGAAGAACGUAGACCGGAGAAGGCAAGGGCUUUAGAAUGAAUUGUUACAAACUACAGACCUCCUUCCUGAUUUUCAAGAAUGCAAGAAAAGAUUGGUUUUGUCGUCCAAACUUAUUUUGUGCCUUGGUAACUAUAACAUGACUCCAAAAUUGGACCACAUGAGUUCUUACCCAAUCCUCAGAUUUUAUUCUGAUACAUUCCAGGCCAUUCAGACAUGCAAUCUAUCUCCUCUCCAACCUCAUUGAGAACCUUGAUUAGAAAUUUUCAGAAGCACCAGCAAACUUGUAAGGACCAAACUCUAGAGCCAACUACUAUGGUUUGGAUCUGAAAUGUCCUCCAAGUACUCAUGUGUUGAAGGAUUGGUUCCCAAUACAACAAUGUUCAGAGGUGGGUAUUUGGGAAGGUGACUGGAUCAUGAGGGCUCUAAACUCAUCAGUGGAUUAAUCCAUUAAUGGAUUCACACUUGAAUGUACUAUGGAAGGUGAUUGGCACUGUAAGAAGGGGUGGGUCCUUGAGAGGAUUAUAUCUUGUGCUGAGCCCCUGGCACCACCCACCUCCUUCCUGGCCACCAUGAUGUGAACAGCCUUAUUCUACCACACCCUUCCGCCAUGAUAUAUUGCCUCACCAUUGACCCAGAAACAAUGGAGUUAGCCAAACCUCUGAAACUAUGAGCCAAAACAAAUCUUUCUCCCUUUAAGUUGAUUUUCUCACAUAUUUUGUUACAGGCAGAAAGUUGACCAAUACACUAAUUCCAUAGCUCUAUAAGGAAGCUGGAUGCUUCCUUUCCCAGCAUCCUCCUGGAUCCCACCUCUCCCUAACAGCCGUGUCACAGCUCAUCACUUACCUGGUUCUGUCUCCAUAUGUCUGCACAUUCUUCUGUCUACUUCUUGGACUCCUUUAGUUUCCCUUUCUUUUGACUCCCAGGUGCAGGCACUUCUCCCAGAUACUGACCUCAGCUCUCUCUUCUACUUAAGUUAUUGGCCCAGAUAGAAGUUGCCAGAUUUGGCCAAUAAAUAUUCAGGACACCUAGUUAAAUUUGAAUUACAGAAUUUUGGGUUCCACAGUGAAUUUGAAAAUGUAUCAGUAAACACAUACAAAAAAAUCAAACAUAUUGACUGGGUGCAUCAUCUGUUCAUGAAUAUUCAGAAGCUGACUCUGUUGAUUGGCCUUGUUAUGUACUCAGCAUUUCUGGGUCACUCCAGGAUCGAACUGUUCUCACACUGAAAGAACCACCAGGAGGAAACCGGGAUCACACUCAGUCAUUAAAUCAUUCGGUCAUCCAGUCACUCAUUUAUUUGGUGGAAUUCAGCAUGUUCUUCUCUGUUUACAAGGUAAAGAAGCACAGAAGACAUCUUCUACUGUCAGCAACCUCAAGCCUUUGUAAGAGUCUGUCUUUAUAGAACCCUGGGAUGACCCAUGUUAUUUGGGCUGCACUGACCAGGGAAGUUGGUCACACAAUGAUUUGGCUAUUUCUCCUUACAGACCCAACUGACCAUUUUCCUUGAGAAAGCAUUGGCUUGGUUCAAGCAUAGCGUUAGGGUUAAUGAUGUGGGCUCAGGCCUCCAAUUGCCUGGGUUCACAGCUUGGAUCUGUAAUUGACCAUCUGUGUGACAAGGGCAGACCAGUUAAUUUCUCCAUGAUUAUUUUCCCUAGCUUUAAAUUAGGAAUGGUGAUGAUAGUGAUGAUGAUGAUGAUGAUGAUGAUGAUGAUGAUGAUGAUGGUAACUAUGUUAUGGGGUUGCUGUAAGAUUUAGCUUAGUCAAUACACAGCACUUAGAGCAGAACUCUAAGUAAGGCAUGGUAGCACUCUGUUAUUUACAAUUGCACUUGUAGUAUAGAUAGCUCCUAAGUUUUCUGUUUUUUUAGGAUAAAGUCUCCAUUUAAAAACAACCAACUUUUUAGAUUCCCACAUGAAUGUAGACUUUUAAGAUCUAAAUGAUGAGCAAAUAAACAAUGAUAGUUGAUCAGCAAGAAUUCAGCGACACUUUGGUACUAGGUGGGACUCACCACCAUUCAGUCCUCCCUAGGAGCUGAGCCAGGGCUUCCUCUCCAUACUGCUGCUCCUCCAUAUGUCAAGGGCUUGACUCAGGAGUGCUUUGUGCAUGGUGGCUCUCAGAAAGGAGGCUGUGCCCACUGGGAAGGUAGGAGAAGCUCAGCAAAGUCCCCGCACAAUCUCUGAUGGUGGAAAGCUUGUGUCCACUUAAUGGCCUAUGUCUGAACCUCUGGUCUAGGUCACACACUCCACCCUCUCCUAGACCUAGGCGCCAUCAUCUGGGAACAGGAGAUAGAGCUGGGUCUCUUCUUCUGCCUCACUAUAUUCACAUUAUGUCCUAAACUCUAAUACUAACUUCUUCAGGACCUUCUCUUAUAGCUCUUAGGCCAGAACUGUUUUGUGUUGUCUGUAUUUGUUAUAGCAAAUUGUAACUUCUUAAUUGUCUUAUAGACUACUGGAGAGAGACUGAUGAGUCAUGGGUCCUAACCCUGGUCCACCAUUUUGUGACACUGGUCAAAUAACUUCAUCCUUAGGGCCUCAAUUUCCUCUUUGUAAAAUAGGAAGACAAAAUUACCUAAGAUGUGGGGGUCCUAAGCAUUUUUUUAAAUGAGACAAUGCAUGUAAAGUGUUUAACACAGUCCCAGGUUGGGUAUGAGGGAAAAGCUCAUUGGAAAAGACUUACCACACCUACAAAAUAAAAGUCACUAAAGUCAGUUAUUUUCAUGGAGUCUAAAGGCAAAAUUAUUAAAAGACUCUUUUUAUCCAAUUCUUUAUUCAAAACUAGAUUCUAAAUAUUUGACUUUUAACAUCCACGAAACUAUUAACCCUACUCUGAAAUGCUCUCCUUUUCUUUCUUGUGACCUUUGACAUGAGAUCAUGACAUGAUGUCAUAAUUUACCUUCUGCUACAACUUUGUGAGAAUUUCCUGAGCUGGUUCUUGGGCCUCCUCAUUUUUUGCAUCUCUGGGAGGUGUCUCGUCUCUAGUCUGAGCACCCUGAGGUAGAGUUGUCAUGCGUUUUGCUCCUAUGGCUAAAUGUGAAUAGUGACAUUGGUGAAUAGUUUUGGAGAUUCUGCUUUUUUCCUUUGCAUUUUUUUAAGACAUGUUUUGGUUUGGUUUGGUAUAGUCAGGUUUUUGUUUUCUGACAAUCAAGAUUUGUAGACAGAAAGUUAGGAGUGAUUAUUGGUAUUUCAAGUUUUCUCUAGGUUAUAGCCAGUAAGCCCUUUGGGUACUCUGAUAUACCCACUUGUUUUUCCUUUCUCUUGGGUACAGAAACAACUACGUAAAUUUCAGAUUCCAAGGAAAGAUUAAAAUGCAGAACUUCUUGUUAAAAAAUUACUAAGAAUUUCAAGAUGGCAACAUCAUAGCAUCAAAUCAAAUCAGAAGCCCUUCUAAGUCUGGGACCCUUCUCAGUGCAGUCUUGUGUGACUGCAGGGGUUGUGGCCUGCGAAGCCAGUCCUGCCUGGGAGGCAGGUGGAUAAGAGCUUUUGAAUCUUAUGAACUUGGAUCAGAGUCCAAGCUCUGCUAUUAACUUUUGGGGAGCAAGAAAUAUAGAAUGAGCAAGACACAGGAGCUCAUUAGAUCAUCAGAGGCACAUUAGUUUGAUGGUUCCCAGGAGUAGGAGCUAACAGAUCUGUAUUCCUUUUAAAUACUGAGAACAGUGCUUCAAACCUAAAAUAAUUUUUAAUUGGGAUACAAUUCACAGAUGAUAAAAUUAAACCUUCUAAAAUGUAUAAUCCAGAUGCUGCCUCAACCAUCCAGCUAUUUGGGUGGUUGAGGCAGGAGGAUCACAAAUUUGAGGCCAGCCUGCACAAGUUAGAGACUGUUGUCUCAAAAAAAGAUAAAAAAAAAAAAGGGAUGUGGGGCUGCAUCUCAGUUAUAAGUGUGAUCACCUAGCAAACACUUGGAUUCGAUCCCCAGUAUCUCACACACCACAAGGUGUACAAUCCAGUGAUAUCUAAUACAUCCACAAAGUUAUGCAACCGUCACUGUUCUCUUAAUUCCACAAUGUUUUUAUCCCUCUUCAAAAUACCCAUCAAUAGUCACUUCCCAUUUCCUUCUGUUUUAGCCCAUGGCAACUACUAAUCUACUUUCUGUCUCCAUGAAUUUGCCGAUUCUGGACAGUUCAUAUAAAUGGAAAAAUACAA